rnacentral:rRNA from 1 species
GAAGGCAAGCGGAUCUCUUAAAGCCGUUCUCAGUUCGGACUGUAGGCUGCAACUCGCCUACACGAAGCUGGAAUCGCUAGUAAUCGCGAAUCAGAAUGUCGCGGUGAAUACGUUCCCGGGUCUUGUACACACCGCCCGUCACACCACGAGAGUUUACAACACCCGAAGUCAGUGGCCUAACCGCAAGGAGGGAGCUGCCUAAGGUGGGGUAGAUGAUUGGGGUGAAGUCGUAACAAGGUAUC